GACGAACGCUGGCGGCGUGCCUAAUACAUGCAAGUAGAACGCUGAAGGAGGAGCUUGCUUCUCUGGAUGAGUUGCGAACGGGUGAGUAACGCGUAGGUAACCUGCCUGGUAGCGGGGGAUAACUAUUGGAAACGAUAGCUAAUACCGCAUAAUAGUAGAUGUUGCAUGACAUUUGCUUAAAAGGUGCAAUUGCAUCACUACCAGAUGGACCUGCGUUGUAUUAGCUAGUUGGUGGGGUAACGGCUCACCAAGGCGACGAUACAUAGCCGACCUGAGAGGGGGGAUCGCCCAACUUGGACCGGGACAAGGGCCAGACUCCUACGGGAGGGAGCAGGAGGGGAACUUUGGAAAUGGGCGGAAGGCUGACCGCAGCAAGCCGCGUGAGUGGAGAAGGUCUUCGGGUCGUAAAGCUCUUUUUUUAGAGAAAAAAGAGUAUCAGGGUGGAAAGCUGACGUUGUGACGGUACCUUACCAGUAAGCACCGGCUAACUACGUG
rnacentral:rRNA from 1 species